AUCAUCUCAUAUAAAUAACUAAUAUUCCAAGAACAUAGUAUAACAUCAACUUCCUGAAUCUUCUUCUUCUCUGUUCACAAAUACAAAAGUCGUGUUUGUUUGAGCGUAAUUUUCAGGUGUGAAUUUCAGCUGGGUUUCAUAUUCAGAAUCAGAAGAGGAUAUAUUCAUCAAGUGGAGCCAAACAGGGCUCUAUGAAAUGUAUGUAGUAUUCAAGCUGUUGAUCAUUGGUGGUGAUAUUGUUGAAGAAGAAGUCCACUGGGAAAAAGAAAGAUAAAUUUUACAACACCGCGUUUUUUUGCUAUAUAUAAUCAGAAAAUCAUUUGAUAUUCUGGGAAAAAAAGAUUCAGGCUAAUUAUUUGAGCAACGGCAGCAAUGAUGAUGAAGAAACAGGGCGCGGAAGGUACUGGAGUUGAAGCGGAGUUGGUGAAAUGCGAGUGCUGCGGAUUGACGGAGGAGUGUACGGUGGCGUAUAUAGCGAGAGUUCGGGAGAGGAACGGAGGGCGGUGGAUUUGCGGACUAUGCGCGGAGGCAGUGAAGGAUGAGAUCAUGAGAUCGGAGUCGAGGAUUGGAAGUGAGGAGGCUCUGAAUCGGCACAUGAAUUUCUGCAAGAAGUUCAGAGCUUUAAGGCCGCCGCCCAAUCCAACGGAGGAACUGAUAUCGGCGGUGAAGCAACUGAUGUUAAGGAGUUUGGAUUCACCUAGAUCAAAUCCUGUGAGUAGACACGGUUUGGUUAGAUCUCAGAGUUGUUUUUCAACAAUUGAUAGUUGAACGGACAGUUCAGUGAUCAAAAUGUUAUAAUUCAAAUCGCGUGCUAGGAGUUCAGGUAAUAUUGAAAGAAGGCCAUUCAGGUAAAUUAGUAUUAGUCUACUAGAUAAUAGAGUUAAACUUGAAUAAAUUUUGCUGCUUAAGGUGGUAUAUUCAGUUUAAACUAUUGUUCAAUUCUGAAGGUAGCUUUGUGCUGUUAGACAGUUCCUUAGUGAAAUUUCAACUAAUUUUCUCUUGUUUGUUUACUAUUGGAGCAAUUGAAUACUAGCUUUAGUUUUCUGGUAGCGAGAUCUGAUUCCAUACUUUUGGUAAGCAGUUGGUUUUCUUGGAAAUUAUUCUGUUCGGAUUUUCAUGAGAAAAAGAAAAAUGGAGCUGUUACUGAUUACACAUGUAGUUUCUUUGUGGUUUUAAGGUUGAAAACAUUAAUCUGGAUUUCAUUGGUAAUCAGGACUAGCUGAUGAGAUUAACAGAAGGACCUGUCUUUAGUCUGUGAUGGUAAUCAGGAGCUCAUUUUUCUACUGCUUCGGGUCCAAAACACUCUCACUCGGGACACUUUAAUCACAUUUCAUUAAGCGCGUGAAGGAAGCAUUUGGACAAUUAAAACAAUAAAAUUCUAUAUCUGUCUCUGGUCAUAGACGAGAGUGUUGUUGUGUACAACCGAUAGCAAAGCAUGUACUCUAACGAACAGUAAUAAUUGUACCUGAUCUCGACUUAAACUAAAUUCAUCUCUGGUUACGAACGGGAUAUUGCACAAUAAAUUGUCCAUGUUAAAGACUGUGUA